UCCUACGGGAGGCAGCAGUGAGGAAUAUUGGUCAAUGGGCGCAAGCCUGAACCAGCCAUCCCGCGUGCAGGAUGACAGUCCUAGAGAUUGUAAACUGCUUUUAUAUAUGAAGAAUAAGGACUACGUGUAGUUCGAUGACUGUAAUAUAUGAAUAAGCACCGGCUAACUCCGUGCCAGCAGCCGCGGUAAUACGGAGGGUGCAAGCGUUAUCCGGAUUUAUUAGGUUUAAAGGGUGCGUAGGCGGAAGCUUAAGUCAGUGGUAAAAGUCAGUAGCUUAACUAUUGUAAGCCAUUGAAACUGGGUUUCUUGAGUUCGGUAGAGGUAGGCGGAAUGUGUUGUGUAGCGGUGAAAUGCAUAGAUAUAACACAGAACACCGAUUGCGAAGGCAGCUUACUAUGCCGUUACUGACGCUAAGGCACGAAAGCGUGGGUAUCAAACAGGAUUAGAUACCCUGGUAGUCCACGCUGUAAACGAUGAUUACUCGUUGUUGGCAAUACAUCGUCAGCGACUGAGCGAAAGCAUUAAGUAAUCCACCUGGGGAGUACGUUCGCAAGAAUGAAACUCAAAUGAAUUGACGG
rnacentral:rRNA from 1 species